UAAGAAUCGGCGGCAGCGACAGCGAAAAGGGCGGCGAGGAUCAAGAACUAAUAAAAUAUGGAACAUUUGACGCCAUGUAAAAGGCUUAUGUAAGAAUCUCAGAAAUGAACUUCGGAACGUGGGGCCAACUAUUAACCGCUUCGUCUUCGUCACCGAAGAUAUAGGUCUACAACUCUCCAUGACGUCCAUGCCCAUCUCCACAUCCAACUCUUUCAUGUCGUCCAUGUGUUGCUUUCAUUGCCCGUUUUACUCACUACCUGGUGCAAAACAAAAUAAUGGGUCCUCAGGUCACCUCAGCGCAUGCACUUUCAUAGGCACUUUCAUGCCGAAUCGAUGACCACGAAGCGCUUCACGCUCAAAGCCAGCACAUUUUUCUGAAUUGUGUAUCCAUAUUCUGAAUGCAGUAUUGGUCCAUUGUCGUCGUGUUUCCGUGAACUAAGUAAUCGAUUUUUUUAACUUUUUGGGUAUCUAUGUAGUUAUCGAUU